CUAAGUUUGAUGGCGACCGGCGCACGGGUGAGUAACACGUAUCCAACCUGCCGAUGACUCGGGGAUAGCCUUUCGAAAGAAAGAUUAAUACCCGAUGGCAUAGUUCUUCCGCAUGGUGGAACUAUUAAAGAAUUUCGGUCAUCGAUGGGGAUGCGUUCCAUUAGGUUGUUGGCGGGGGUAACGGCCCACCAAGCCUUCGAUGGAUAGGGGUUCUGAGAGGAAGGUCCCCCCACAUUGGAACUGAGACACGGUCCAAACUCCUACGGGAGGCAGCAUG
rnacentral:rRNA from 1 species